GAAAGAUCACGUGACCAAAACACCGCCAGCAAAACACUGGUUUCAGUCCACAUCUCAGAUGAACAAAAAUUCGAGUGUUUCAGAAAGUGCACCAGUAAAAAUGACUGGUGAACAGGAAAUUUGGUCUUCAGCUACCUACCAAGAAAGUUCUUUAGAUUAUUCCCAGGUAAGGCAUCCGGUAACAGAUAAAAUGCCAGUGUUUAUCCCGGCGGAAGACGAAGAAGAGGAUCAGGGCUUUCAAAUGACAGAAAAUCUGAUUGGAUCAAAUAAUGAGGACGAUACAUUGGACAACGUCACGAGCAAGGAAAUGUUCCACUCCAUGUAUGACAUCAACGACCAUCUUCACUUCGAACGGCAACCGCCAGCCUCGUUCUCAGAAAGAGGCUCUGACGGAAGGGCUGGUGUGAAUGUCCCUCCCGAUGGCGGUCCCUACCGUCACCCCGAAACUGAACCCAGGAGCCAACACGACCCACGAUACCGGUGGAGACCCAAAAAUAUCACGCCCU